AACGAACGCUGGCGGCAUGCCUAACACAUGCAAGUCGAACGAGACCUUCGGGUCUAGUGGCGCACGGGUGCGUAACGCGUGGGAACCUGCCCUUAGGUUCGGAAUAACUCCCCGAAAGGGGUGCUAAUACCGGAUAAUGUCUUCGGACCAAAGAUUUAUCGCCUUUGGAUGGGCCCGCGUUGGAUUAGCUAGUUGGUAGGGUAAAAGCCUACCAAGGCGACGAUCCAUAGCUGGUCUGAGAGGAUGAUCAGCCACACUGGGACUGAGACACGGCCCAGACUCCUACGGGGGACGGCGGUGGGGAAUAUUGUACAAUGGGCGAGAGCCUGAUCCAGCGAUGCCGCGUGAGAGAGAAAGAGCUUAGGGUUGUGAAGCUCUUUUACCCGGGAUGAUAAUGAGAGUGCCGGGAGAAUAAGCUCCGGCUAACUCCGUG
rnacentral:rRNA from 1 species